rnacentral:rRNA from 1 species
GAUGAACGAUGGCGGGGGGAGGAAGAAAGGAAAGGCGAGAGAAAAGAAGAGGAGCAGGGGAAGGUGAGGGGAGCGGCGGACGGGGGAGGAACAAGUGGAGAAAGCACCUAUAAGACUGGGAUAACUUAGGGAAACCGGAGCUAAUACCGGAGAAUAUAUUGAAGCGCAUGGUUCAAUAGUGAAAGACGGUUUUGCUGUCACUUAUAGAUGGAUCCGCGCCGCAUUAGCUAGUUGGUAAGGUAACGGCUGACCAAGGACAGGGGGCGUAGCCGACCUUGGAGCUUCCUCGGCCCACCUGCAACUGAGCCCCCGUCCCGACUCCUCAUCGAGGCAGCGGUAGGGAAUCUUCCGCAAUGGGCGAAAGCCUGACGGAGCAACGCCGCGUGAGUGAUGAAGGUCUUCGGAUCGUAAUCCUCUGUUAUUCGGGAAGAACAAAUGUGUAAGUAACUAUGCACGUCUUGACGGUACCUAAUCAGAAAGCCCCGGCUCCCUACGUC